AGAUUGUGGGACUUCAGUCUCCUCUUCUGUAAAACGAGGAUAAGGGUGCCUUCCUCCCGCGGGGUUGGAGGGAUUGUCCGUGGCCAUGUGAGGACAUCAGCGCAGCCUGGGGAUACACCAGCACUCACUCGGGUGUUGCUGACCCUGGGGAGACGGAAGGAGCAGCCGACUUGCACAGAGAAGAAAGCAAAACACUCUGGUGGUUAAGGGCACUGCCGCAGUUGCUGUCACAGGGACUGGCGUUCCCUGUCGGGAGGGAUAUGGCUCUGCUGUGAACCAGGCCGAAGGAAUUUCAUGGCCUCUCAGCUUGGAACGUUGAGAAUUUUAAACCUACCCAGAUGUUUCACGCCUGGCUGUCCCAGGAAAAUUCUCUUUUUUUCUUUUAUUUCUUUAUUCUUCAAUUUGGGCAAAUACCUACUUGGAAAAGCAGCGUAAAGCAUGUGCUCCCUGCAGCGCCUACGUGGGGCGGCUGCCCUGGGGUCUUUACAGGGUGUUUGGUGCAAACUGCCUCUGUUGACCAAAGUCGAAACCAAUUCUGUCCUUAGCCCCAUCAAUUCCAAUUGUGGAAAUGUAUUCAAUAAAUGAAUUCACACCUGAACAAAAUGUACGUUCACACACAGUUGUCGGAAGAUUGUCUGGAGACCGGAGAACGCUCUCACAGGGCCUGGCUGGACACUGCGUGCUCAUCCACAUCAGGGGGCCUCACAGGUUCUUCCCACAGGAGCCCCGCACACCUGUGCUGACAGCAGCCACCAUGGAACUGUAUCUGAGUGAGGGGCCCCGGAGCGGCCACGUGUGUGUGAGCUCCCAUCGGCGCAAAUGGGGACACAGGCAGGUGCCCCGUCCACCACCUAUCCUGUCCCUGCUCAGUGUCAGCCUCCUUGCUGAGUGUGGUCCCAUCGGCAAGUUUUCAGAUGAAUCAAGGAUGCUCCAGCAGGGCCACACAUGUAUCCCCCACUCUGCUGAUGGACCAGAGGCUCCCCAGACACGGAAGCCAGAUGUCACCAUGCUGGUCCCUAGAGCAGCCGUGCGGGGCAUGGAGCAGCAGAACUCAGAGCUCAGGCAGGGCUGAUGCGGGAAAGCCGGCCACCCCGUGCUGCGGCCCCCAUGGGGGAAGGAGCUCACCUGAAGGGGGCGCUCUCAUUGGCUGGGAACCUCCAGUGACUCCACAGCACUCUCCUGAGUUGUGCCAGACACCUUCAAAACAGUCACUGGGCUGAAAAGUGACCAGGCCACGGGGUCGAGCUGUGAAGAUGAGUUGGCCGUGGUUGUGGAUGGCGAGGGAGGGAGCAGCCCCGGCCUGGGCUCUGGCAGCCCUGCUGAGUCCAUCUCCCUGAGGAUGGGCCGGGCUGAGCCGGGACUGGCACUCCAUGAUGUGGAGCGGGGCGUGCUGGUGUGGAGCGGGGUGUGCUGGUGUGGAGCGGGGCGUGCUGGUGUGGAGCGGGGCGUGCUGGUGUGGAGCAGGGCGUGCUGGGGGAGCCUUUGCUGGGAAAGACUCCUGCUGAGAGGAGCCCUGUGUCGUGGAGGCUGUGGUUCCGAAUCUCUCAGCAGGUGUUCUCUGCUCAUUCAAGUUAACUAAACUAUAAAUCACACCUGCCACAUCCCAUUCCCACGAUGCUCAUUUCUUGUUAGAAAGUUCUCUGGGCAUCAGGAGUAGCUCGAUACGCAAAAUGAAGCAGGUGUGGCAGCUUCAGACAACCGAGUGUCCGCUGGGCUCUGCCUGCAGGUGUCUCCUGUUUCAUGAAACCAACUUGGCCCUGAUCGGCCCAUUAUGUUAGGGAGGGCGGAGUUCGCUCCUGGUGAUGGAGGGGCCGGCUCUGGGAGGAUGAACGAGGCUCAAACAAGAUGACAUGACUGUGGCAGGUGUUCCUGCCCAGGUCCCUCUGACAUUGCAGGUGCCAUGCUCCAUUGUCCCGCUCCACCCACGUCCUCCUUUGUCCCAUCUCUAGAGGCAUCCAGGAAUGCCCAUCUCAAGGGAAUUCCUCCCUAAGCCCAUGUUCUCUCCCAGCACGCCCUUUAGUUCUCCUCCAAUUUACAGC
ensembl:lncRNA